UUGAAUACUAUUAUUUUUUAGUUUUCAACUAUUAAACCCCUUUGUCUACUUAUACCAUGUUGCUUCCACUGGACAGGUUGAUUAUGUUAUUUUACAUGUGUUACCCUUUAGCUUGAUCCUUUUUUUUGGUACAAGUUGAAGAGUUGCCAGUGGAUGAAAAUUAAACUAAAAACUUUUGAAUAAAACUCUGUCUUAACUCUUUUUUAUUGAAAAAUAAAAUA
rnacentral:misc_RNA from 1 species